rnacentral:lncRNA from 1 species
AAGGUUAUUGAUGGAGAAAAGAUAGAGGAAGAUGAGAUAACAAGGUCUUGAAGUCUUUGGGCAUUAUUAGGAGAAAUACUGAAGUUAACCCUAAAGAAGAAUGUCAAGCCACUAUCUUUACAAAUGAUAAGGUUGUCAAGGAGGAAAAGAUAGAAGAAGAAGAGCUAGAGAUGUAUGAAGAGGAAAUAAACGGGAGUAUCAAAACCUACUGAUGGGUAUUUGAUUUUAUUUUAUUUUAUUUUAUUUUAUUUUAUUUUUUUUAUUUGAUUUGAUUUUAAUUUUUUUUAUUUGAGUUGAUUUUAUUUGAUUUUAUUUUAUUUUAUGUGAUUUGAUUUGAUUUCAUUUGACUUGAUUUUAUUUUAUUUUAUCUUAUUUGAUUUGAUUUGAUUUUAUUUUAUUUUACUUUAUUUUUUUUUUAUUUUUUUUUAUUUUUUAUUUUUUUUAUUUUUUUUAUUUUAUUUUAUUUUAUUUUAUUUUAUUUUAUUUUUGAGUUAUGCGCUGCUUCUGAUGGCAGUAAUGAUUAACAUCUACUGAGGGAUGCUAAAAUUUUUGAAUCCACUGAAGGAUUCCAGGAAGGCACCUACUGAUGGGUGGUGGAAGGAAUUGCACUUACUGACAAGUGCUAAACAGCUUUGGGUCAGGCUCGUGACGUUAAACAAGUGCUACUAGGAGGCAACCUAGAUUUCUUCUUACACUUUUGCAUUUUAAAUUCCUACAAUAGGUUGAAUUUUAAUUUAAGUGUGUACUCUUGGCUUUAAUACUUUUUCUGAAAAUGUUUGAUUAACUGAUGUGCAUGAUGGAG